UACGGGGGGGGCAAGCGUUGUUCGGAAUUACUGGGCGUAAAGCGUGCGCAGGCGGUUUUGUAAGACCGAUGUGAAAUCCCCGGGCUUAACCUGGGAACUGCAUUGGUGACUGCAAGGCUAGAGUGUGUCAGAGGGAGGUGGAAUUCCGCGUGUAGCAGUGAAAUGCGUAGAGAUGCGGAGGAACACCGAUGGCGAAGGCAGCCUCCUGGGAUAACACUGACGCUCAUGCACGAAAGCGUGGGGAGCAAACAGG
rnacentral:rRNA from 1 species